GUUUUCCUACGGGGGGCAGCAGUGAGGAAUAUUGGUCAAUGGUCGGGAGACUGAACCAGCCAAGCCGCGUGAGGGAGGGAGGUACAGAGUAUCGUAAACCUCUUUUGUCAGGGAACAAAGACUGGGACGCGUCCCCGGAUGAGUGUACCUGAAGAAAAAGCAUCGGCUAACUCCGUGCCAGCAGCCGCGGUAAUACGGAGGAUGCGAGCGUUAUCCGGAUUUAUUGGGUUUAAAGGGUGCGCAGGCGGUCUGUUAAGUCAGCGGUCAAAGCCCGGGGCUCAACCCCGGCCCGCCGUUGAAACUGG
rnacentral:rRNA from 1 species